rfam:Ponticoccus sp. TMTAT08 contig000001, whole genome shotgun sequence.
AUCCUCGAUCUGUUGCGGGCAGAUGAAAUGGAUGUGGCUGUCAAAGCCGCCCGCGGUCAGGAUGCGCCCUUCGCCCGCGAUGGCCUCUGUCCCCGGGCCAACGAUGAUGUCGACGCCGGGCUGGGUGUCCGGGUUACCGGCCUUGCCGAUCUUGUGGAUGCGCCCGUUCUUCAGCCCCACGUCAGCCUUGUAGAUGCCCGAGUGAUCGACGAUCAGCGCGUUGGUGAUGACCGUGUCCACGGCGCCCUCAGCCCGUGUGGUCUGGGCCUGGCCCAUGCCGUCGCGGAU